GACGAACGCUGGCGGCGUGCUUAACACAUGCAAGUCGAACGGAAAGGCCCUGCUUUUGUGGGGUGCUCGAGUGGCGAACGGGUGAGUAACACGUGAGUAACCUGCCCUUGACUUUGGGAUAACUUCAGGAAACUGGGGCUAAUACCGGAUAGGAUCUCCUGCUGCAUGGUGGGGGUUGGAAAGUUUCGGCGGUUGGGGAUGGACUCGCGGCUUAUCAGCUUGUUGGUGGGGUAGUGGCUUACCAAGGCUUUGACGGGUAGCCGGCCUGAGAGGGUGACCGGCCACAUUGGGACUGAGAUACGGCCCAGACUCCUACGGGAGGCAGCAGUGGGGAAUAUUGCACAAUGGGCGGAGGCCUGAUGCAGCAACGCCGCGUGCGGGAUGACGGCCUUCGGGUUGUAAACCGCUUUCGCCUGUGACGAAGCGUGAGUGACGGUAAUGGGUAAAGAAGCACCGGCUAACUACGUG
rnacentral:rRNA from 1 species